ensembl:lncRNA
AAAAAUUAAGAUAUUCUGGGCAAAAGAAGUGUUUAGACAAAGGCUGUCUGCUUCAAUUUCCCCGUUAAGCGGCGAACAGGCUGCUCGGAGAGAGAGUGACGGUGGAUUCCAUAAAUUAACAGAAAAUCCCUCUUCUCCGGAGCCCAAGUUAUCUCUCCGUUGCCUGCAGCCCUGAUUUAGAAUGGGAGCCGGCUUGUUUACCGGUUUAAUUAAUGCUUCUUUUCAAGCGGGGAGGAGGGGAGGGGAAAUGAAGUGACUUGGUGAUAAACAGGUGUAGCCGGCCUGCCGCGAGCUCUCGGGGCCGGCGGCAGCCUCAUCAGGCUUGACUGGGCAUGACCCCGCCAGCGAAAAAGGUAGAUGGCCCAGUUGGAAGCGCAGUAGGCCUCACCUCAGAUCUUCCACACCCAGGACCAGAGCAUCACUUCUCCCAGAGGAGCCUGAUUCGACAACGACCCUGCCUGGAGUUCAGAAGGCGGUCUUUGGUGGGAUUUCGGUAUCCUGAGCUUCGGGCCUCCUAAACCCAUUUGACCCCGUCAUCUCCUUGUGUGAUGGCUCCUUUUCUCAACCGAGAC